ACCGAGCAUGUCAAUCUCAUUGUCAAAGUGACCAAUGUUGCAAACAAUGGCAUUGUUCUUCAUCUUUCUCAUGUGAUCAACCAUGAUGAUAUCUUUGUUACCGGUGGUGGUGACGAAGAUGUCAGCCUCCGAGACAGCAUCUUCCAGGGUGAGUACUUGAAGGCCUUCCAUAAGAGCCUGGAGGGCACAAAUUGGAUCGAUCUCAGUCACGAUCACACGAGCUCCAGCUUGCUUGAGGGCAGCGGCACAACCCUUUCCCACAUCUCCAUAACCGCACACAACAGCUACCUUACCGGCAAUCAUGACAUCGGUAGCUCUCAUCAGACCAUCAGGGAGAGAGUGACGGCAUCCAUACAAGUUGUCAAACUGCAAACAGUCAGAAAUAAAUUUAACAAGAACCAAAUUAGUGUUUGGAACUCAAAAUUGACCACAAAGCAUGGCAAGACUGGCAGCUGAAAGAUCUUAGAUUAUCAGUCAACAGCAACGAAAAGGGUAACUGAACUUGAAAAGUGGAUACGGAGAACCGAGAACAAUGGUCAACAGCAGUUAAGCCAUUAUCAGCUUGGUUCAAACUCAUGCAAGAUUCAGAAACUAAUUCAAACAUUGUAUUCACAGAGUUAUAGUUCAACACUUCACUAGUUACAUAUAUAAAGCAUGGAUGAGGCAUUGGUUACCAGAUCUGAACAGUAAAAUCAACAUAGAAAGCAGAUCUGCAGAAGCAGAGAAAUGAAAAACAGAAAAGAAACCCAGAUCUAAAACAAAAGCAGCAGAAGAAAUACCUUGCUCUUAGUGACAGAGUCAUUGACAUUAAUGGCAGGGAACAACAAGGUUCCACUUGACUGCAUCUGGUAAAGCCUCUUAACACCAGUGGUAGUCUCUUCGGAAACACCAACCAAUCUCUCCUUCAUCUUGUGGUACCUCUUAGGGUCAGAUUUCAAUCCAUCUCUAAUAAUCGUCAACACGAUCUGAAACUCAGCGUUAUCAGUAGAAGCAGGGUCAGGAAGAGCACCAGUCUUCUCAUAAAUCUCCUCCGCCUUAACUCCCUCGUGAAUCAAGAGAGUUGCGUCACCGCC
rnacentral:lncRNA from 1 species